UACGUAGGGUGCAAGCGUUAAUCGGAAUUACUGGGCGUAAAGCGUGCGCAGGCGGUUAUGCAAGACAGAUGUGAAAUCCCCGGGCUUAACCUGGGAACUGCAUUUGUGACUGCAUAGCUGGAGUACGGCAGAGGGGGGAUGGAAUUCCGCGUGUAGCAGUGAAAUGCGUAGAUAUGCGGAGGAACACCGAUGGCGAAGGCAGUCCCCUGGGCCUGUACUGACGCUCAUGCACGAAAGCGUGGGGAGCAAACAGG
rnacentral:rRNA from 1 species